UUAGGAAUCUUGCGCAAUGGGCGAAAGCCUGACGCAGCAACGCCGCGUGGGGGAUGAAGGCCUUCGGGUUGUAAACCCCUUUCAGUGGGGACGAAUACAGACGGUACCCACAGAAGAAGCACCGGCCAACUACGUGCCAGCAGCCGCGGUGACACGUAGGGUGCAAGCGUUGUCCGGAUUUAUUGGGCGUAAAGGGCUCGUAGGCGGUUCGACAAGUCGGGUGUGAAACCUCCAGGCUCAACCUGGAGUCGCCACCCGAAACUGUUGUGACUUGAGUCCGGUAGAGGAGUAUGGAAUUUGUGGUGUAGCGGUGGAAUGCGCAGAUAUCACAAGGAACACCAGUAGCGAAGGCGAUACUCUGGGCCGGAACUGACGCUGAGGAGCGAAAGCAUGGGGAGCAAACA
rnacentral:rRNA from 1 species